rnacentral:rRNA from 1 species
GACAGAGGAUGCAAGCGUUAUCCGGAAUGAUUGGGCGUAAAGCGUCUGUAGGUGGCUUUUAAGUCCGCCGUCAAACCCCAGGGCUCAACCCUGGACAGGCGGUGGAAACUACCAAGCUGGAGUACGGUAGGGGCAGAGGGAAUUUCCGGUGGAGCGGUGAAAUGCGUAGGAGAUACGGAAAGAACACCAAGCGGCAGAAA